ACGUCUCUCCUCUUCAACUCUAUUAUAUAUCUUAGCUUAAAACACAAUCACCAUUGUUAAAAAGGCCGAGUAUGAAACCUUCAGUACAGAUCUCCGGCGAUGGUUCUCUGGCUGAAGAACCAAAGAGAACUACUGUCGGAGAAAAGCUCAGGCAGGCUAGAGAGGUGGCUGUAACAGCCAUAGCCAAGUCCAGGGCUAAUUGGGAGGCACGUAGUGUUCCAAUUUCCAAAGAACUUGAGAGACGAAAGUGGAGCUACAGAGCCGAAGAUCCAAUAAGAACUCUGAUGUUCUUGGGAGCAUGGAGUCACACUUAAAACAAAUUAUUUUUAAUCGCAGCUUGCAUGAAUUCGAGUAGUAUUGACUUGGAAGAUCAAGUAAAAAGAUUUAUGAGAAAAAUCUCUACAUUAUGUAUGAUAUAUGGAGGUUAGUACUGCAGGGCGGCUCAUGUAGCAAGAAAUUAAUUAAUGCACAUAAUGUAUUAAUUGAAUUCAAUAUAUAUAGUUGUAUCAACCAGAAAUCAAGAGCUAGCUAGCUAUGUAUAAAAUGGGGCCAAAAAAAAAACAAAAAAUGAAAUGUUGUCGUCUCUUUAAUAAAACCUAUAUCUCAUGUGUUUUGAUGAUGUGUAAAGUGGUUGAUGUUUUGGUUAGAUCGAAUUUCAUUUACAAAUACAAGAAUAUAUAUAUA